GAAGGAUAGAGUACAUUCAUACAUUAUGUUUUAUGUGUUCAUUUGGACGUUUUUUUUUUUGUGCCUUUUUCAUCAUUACACAUUUAAGUGAAAAGAGGAAGAAAAGGGGAAUAAUGAUGUAUAUAAAGA
rnacentral:ribozyme from 1 species